rnacentral:rRNA from 1 species
UACGUAGGGGGCAAGCGUUGUCCGGAUUUAUUGGGCGUAAAGAGCGUGUAGGCGGCCAUGCAGGUCCGUUGUGAAAACUCGAGGCUCAACCUCGAGACGUCGAUGGAAACCGCAUGGCUAGAGUCCGGAAGAGGAGAGUGGAAUUCCUGGUGUAGCAGUGAAAUGCGUAGAUAUCGGGAAGAACACCCGUGGCGAAGGCGGCUCUCUGGGACGGUACUGACGCUGAGACGCGAAAGCGUGGGGAGCGAACAGG